GAUGAACGCUGGCGGCGUGCCUAAUACAUGCAAGUCGAGCGAACGGACGAGAAGCUUGCUUCUCUGAUGUUAGCGGCGGACGGGUGAGUAACACGUGGAUAACCUACCUAUAAGACUGGGAUAACUUCGGGAAACCGGAGCUAAUACCGGAUAAUAUUUUGAACCGCAUGGUUCAAAAGUGAAAGACGGUCUUGCUGUCACUUAUAGAUGGAUCCGCGCUGCAUUAGCUAGUUGGUAAGGUAACGGCUUACCAAGGCAACGAUGCAUAGCCGGCCUGAGAGGGUGAUCGGCCACACUGGAACUGAGACACGGUCCAGACUCCUACGGGAGGCAGCAGUAGGGAAUCUUCCGCAAUGGGCGAAAGCCUGACGGAGCAACGCCGCGUGAGUGAUGAAGGUCUUCGGAUCGUAAAACUCUGUUAUUAGGGAAGAACAUAUGUGUAAGUAACUGUGCACAUCUUGACGGUACCCUAUCAGAAAGCCACGGCUAACUACGUGCCAGCAGCCGCGGUAAUACGUANGUGGGCAGCGUUAUCCCGAAAUAUUGGGCGUNAAGCGCGCGUAGGCGGUUUUUUAGUCUGAUGUGAAAGCCCACGGCUCAACCGUGGAGGGUCAUUGGAAACUGGAAAACUUGAGUGCAGAAGAGGAAAGUGGAAUUCCAUGUGUAGCGGUGAAAUGCGCAGAGAUAUGGAGGAACACCAGUGGCGAAGGCGACUUUCUGGUCUGUAACUGACGCUGAUGUGCGAAAGCGUGGGGAUCAAACAGGAUUAGAUACCCUGGUAGUCCACGCCGUAAACGAUGAGUGCUAAGUGUUAGGGGGUUUCCGCCCCUUAGUGCUGCAGCUAACGCAUUAAGCACUCCGCCUGGGGAGUACGACCGCAAGGUUGAAACUCAAAGGAAUUGACGGGGACCCGCACAAGCGGUGGAGCAUGUGGUUUAAUUCGAAGCAACGCGAAGAACCUUACCAAAUCUUGACAUCCUUUGACAACUCUAGAGAUAGAGCCUUCCCCUUCGGGGGACAAAGUGACAGGUGGUGCAUGGUUGUCAUCAGCUCGUGUCGUGAGAUGUUGGGUUAAGUCCCGCAACGAGCGCAACCCUUAAGCUUAGUUGCCAUCAUUAAGUUGGGCACUCUAAGUUGACUGCCGGUGACAAACCGGAGGAAGGUGGGGAUGACGUCAAAUCAUCAUGCCCCUUAUGAUUUGGGCUACACACGUGCUACAAUGGACAAUACAAGGGGCAGCGAAACCGCGAGGUCAAGCAAAUCCCAUAAAGUUGUUCUCAGUUCGGAUUGUAGUCUGCAACUCGACUACAUGAAGCUGGAAUCGCUAGUAAUCGUAGAUCAGCAUGCUACGGUGAAUACGUUCCCGGGUCU
rnacentral:rRNA from 1 species